rnacentral:lncRNA from 1 species
AAUUCACAUCUAAAUUUGACAAAAACCUCGACUAGCUUCGAUCAAGUUCUCACACUACCGCUUUGGAACAAACGUUGAACUUUCUUUCUUCCUUCCAAGCUUUGAAAAUUUCACCAGGUUCGUUCCUUAUACCCUUAAUCUUUCAUCAUCUAAAUCGAUUUCCUUCUGAAUUUAAUAAUAAGAACAACAUAUAUCAAUGUCUAGAAGGGUACAAUCUUAUAGCUCCUGAAUUUAAUAACAACAACAUGCUUAUCUUGCAUUUACUUAUAUCAAAAAUAAUAAUCCACUUCCAAAACAUUACAAUCAAAUAAAAAGUUGGAAGAACGGUUGUUCCACUCUGAGUACUGAUCCAUUGCUAUAUCAUAUUUUCUUUCUCUUGGAUGCAGAAAAUAACGGUUUUGAAUCAAGGUGGUGACCUUUUCUGACACUUGUGGACAUGUUUCUUGAACCUUCCUUCAAAUAAUGAUUAGCAUGAAGACAGAAAAAAUAUGGUUAAUUAUGUAUCAAUGGAAAAGGACACUAGUAGUUGUUAUAAAUCAAAGCAAGAUAAAAAGUGUUAGCAAAGUCAAUCUUUAGGGUAGAACAAGAACUAGAAAGUUGAGUUCUUUUGCCUUUACAAUCAUUCAAAAACAUGUUUACUCACCUUUGUAUUCUUGUUCUUUCUCCUUGGUAUCCAUUUUUUGUAGGAUUUUGCUAUCACCUGAAUCUCCUAUAUGCCUCAUUACUCUCAAAGCACCUUUCAUCCUCUCAAUUUCCAACUGAAGCACAUGCUUGUCAUCAACAUUCUUUUCAAAAUCAAUAAUUUGUUUGUGAA